rnacentral:lncRNA from 1 species
UCUGUGACCACUGAUGAGUAUCGGAUACGGGUUAGGACCAAAAUUAAAUUGGGGUGGGUUCAGUCGCGCAAAUGCCGUAUCACUUUGUCCUGGGUAUCUUGCUGCUGAAUUGCUUGUUGGAUUGUUCAAACUAAAGUCGUCCAGUCGGUUUGCUACAAUGUACAUUUCUGUACUUCGGAACUUCUGUAGAAUUUGGGCCUGAGCACUUUCGAAUUUAUCUGUAGUUUGAGAUUAAUCUUUGGGAGAUGUUAGAGUGGGUUCAGGGAUGGAUCUGCAUAUUCAGCGUGCAGAGCAUCUUCUAAUUUACCAUUUAUCUACUAGUACUACAUUAGUUAUCAUGAACCUACAUGCUCCC